rnacentral:rRNA from 1 species
AGAAUCAACGCUGGCGGCGUGCCUAACACAUGCAAGUCGCACGAGAAAGGGGAGCAAUCCCUGAGUACAGUGGCGCACGGGUGAGUAACACGUGAAUCAUCUACCUCCGAGUGGGGAAUAACUGAGAGAAAUCUUGGCUAAUACCGCAUAAUACCCACGGGUCAAAGCAGUAAUGCGCUUGGAGAGGAGUUCGCGGCAGAUUAGUUAGUUGGCGGGGUAAUGGCCCACCAAGACGAUGAUCUGUAUCCGGCCUGAGAGGGCGCACGGACACACUGGAACUGAAACACGGUCCAGACUCCUACGGGAGGCAGCAGUGGGGAAUUUUGCGCAAUGGGGGAAACCCUGACGCAGCAACGCCGCGUGGAGGAUGAAGCCCCUUGGGGUGUAAACUCCUUUCGAUCGGGAAGAUAAUGACGGUACCGAUAUAAGAAGCCCCGGCUAACUUCGUGCCAGCAGCCGC